rnacentral:rRNA from 1 species
GUGGGGAAUAUUGCACAAUGGGCGAAAGCCUGAUGCAGCAACGCCGCGUGAGUGAUGAAGGCCUUCGGGUUGUAAAGCUCUGUCUUUUGGGACGAUAAUGACGGUACCAAAGGAGGAAGCCACGGCUAACUACGUGCCAGCAGCCGCGGUAAUACGUAGGUGGCAAGCGUUGUCCGGAUUUACUGGGCGUAAAGGAUGCGUAGGUGGAUAUUUAAGUGGGAUGUGAAAUACCCGGGCUCAACUUGGGUGCUGCAUUCCAAACUGGAUAUCUAGAGUGCAGGAGAGGUAAGUGGAAUUCCUAGUGUAGCGGUGAAAUGCGUAGAGAUUAGGAAGAACACCAGUGGCGAAGGCGACUUACUGGACUGUAACUGACACUGAGGCAUGAAAGCGUGGGGAGCAAACAGGAUUAGAUACCCUAGUAGUCC